CCUACGGGAGGCAGCAGUGGGGAAUCUUGCGCAAUGGGCGAAAGCCUGACGCAGCGAUGCCGCGUGGGGGAUGAAGGCUCUCGGGUCGUAAACCCCUUUCAGCAGGGACGAAAAUGACGGUACCUGCAGAAGAAGCCCCGGCCAACUACGUGCCAGCAGCCGCGGUAACACGUAGGGGGCAAGCGUUGUCCGGAUUUAUUGGGCGUAAAGGGCUCGUAGGCUGUUCAGUAAGUCAGGUGUGAAAACCCAAGGCUCAACCUUGGGACGCCACUUGAUACUGCUGUGACUAGAGUCCGGUAGAGGAGAUUGGAAUUCCUGGUGUAGCGGUGAAAUGCGCAGAUAUCAGGAGGAACACCAACGGCGAAGGCAGAUCUCUGGGCCGGUACUGACGCUGAGGAGCGAAAGCAUGGGGAGCGAACAGGAUUAGAUACCCUGGUAGUCCAUGCCGUAAACGUUGGGCACUAGGUGUGGGGUCUAUUCAACGGAUUCCGUGCCGCAGCUAACGCAUUAAGUGCCCCGCCUGGGGAGUACGGUCGCAAGACUAAAACUCAAAGGAAUUGACGG
rnacentral:rRNA from 1 species